AUUGAACGCUGGCGGCAGGCUUAACACAUGCAAGUCGAGCGGAGAGAGGUAGCUUGCUACUGAUCUUAGCGGCGGACGGGUGAGUAAUGCUUAGGAAUCUGCCUAUUAGUGGGGGACAACAUUUCGAAAGGAAUGCUAAUACCGCAUACGUCCUACGGGAGAAAGCAGGGGAUCUUCGGACCUUGCGCUAUUAGAUGAGCCUAAGUCGGAUUAGCUAGUUGGUGGGGUAAAGGCCUACCAAGGCGACGAUCUGUAGCGGGUCUGAGAGGAUGAUCCGCCACACUGGGACUGAAACACGGCCCAGACUCCUACGGGAGGCAGCAGUGGGGAAUAUUGGACAAUGGGCGCAAGCCUGAUCCAGCCAUGCCGCGUGUGUGAAGAAGGCCUUAUGGUUGUAAAGCACUUUAAGCGAGGAGGAGGCUACUUUAGAUAAUACCUAGAGAUAGUGGACGUUACUCGCAGAAUAAGCACCGGCUAACUCUGUGCCAGCAGCCGCGGUAAUAC
rnacentral:rRNA from 1 species